ACGCUGAAGAGAGGAGCUUGCUCUUCUUGGAUGAGUUGCGAACGGGUGAGUAACGCGUAGGUAACCUGCCUUGUAGCGGGGGAUAACUAUUGGAAACGAUAGCUAAUACCGCAUAACAAUGGAUGACACAUGUCAUUUAUUUGAAAGGGGCAAUUGCUCCACUACAAGAUGGACCUGCGUUGUAUUAGCUAGUAGGUGAGGUAAUGGCUCACCUAGGCGACGAUACAUAGCCGACCUGAGAGGGUGAUCGGCCACACUGGGACUGAGACACGGCCCAGACUCCUACGGGAGGCAGCAGUAGGGAAUCUUCGGCAAUGGGGGCAACCCUGACCGAGCAACGCCGCGUGAGUGAAGAAGGUUUUCGGAUCGUAAAGCUCUGUUGUAAGUCAAGAACGGGUGUGAGAGUGGAAAGUUCACACUGUGACGGUAGCUUACCAGAAAGGGACGGCUAACUACGUGCCAGCAGCCGCGGUAAUACGUAGGUCCCGAGCGUUGUCCGGAUUUAUUGGGCGUAAAGCGAGCGCAGGCGGUUUGAUAAGUCUGAAGUUAAAGGCUGUGGCUCAACCAUAGUUCGCUUUGGAAACUGUCAAACUUGAGUGCAGAAGGGGAGAGUGGAAUUCCAUGUGUAGCGGUGAAAUGCGUAGAUAUAUGGAGGAACACCGGUGGCGAAAGCGGCUCUCUGGUCUGUAACUGACGCUGAGGCUCGAAAGCGUGGGGAGCGAACAGGAUUAGAUACCCUGGUAGUCCACGCCGUAAACGAUGAGUGCUAGGUGUUGGAUCCUUUCCGGGAUUCAGUGCCGCAGCUAACGCAUUAAGCACUCCGCCUGGGGAGUACGACCGCAAGGUUGAAACUCAAAGGAAUUGACGGGGGCCCGCACAAGCGGUGGAGCAUGUGGUUUAAUUCGAAGCAACGCGAAGAACCUUACCAGGUCUUGACAUCCCGAUGCUAUUUCUAGAGAUAGAAAGUUACUUCGGUACAUCGGUGACAGGUGGUGCAUGGUUGUCGUCAGCUCGUGUCGUGAGAUGUUGGGUUAAGUCCCGCAACGAGCGCAACCCCUAUUGUUAGUUGCCAUCAUUCAGUUGGGCACUCUAGCGAGACUGCCGGUAAUAAACCGGAGGAAGGUGGGGAUGACGUCAAAUCAUCAUGCCCCUUAUGACCUGGGCUACACACGUGCUACAAUGGUUGGUACAACGAGUUGCGAGUCGGUGACGGCGAGCUAAUCUCUUAAAGCCAAUCUCAGUUCGGAUUGUAGGCUGCAACUCGCCUACAUGAAGUCGGAAUCGCUAGUAAUCGCGGAUCAGCACGCCGCGGUGAAUACGUUCCCGGGCCUUGUACACACCGCCCGUCACACCACGAGAGUUUGUAACACCCGAAGUCGGUGAGGUAACCUUU
rnacentral:rRNA from 1 species